CGGGGUGUAGCGCAGUUGAUAGCGCGCCGCAUUUGGGAUGCGGAGGCCGCGAGUUUGAGUCUCGCCACUCCGACCA
rnacentral:tRNA from 1 species